GAUGAACGCUGGCGGCGUGCCUAAUACAUGCAAGUCGAGCGAACAGACGAGGAGCUUGCUCCUCUGACGUUAGCGGCGGACGGGUCAGUAACACGUGGAUAACCUACCUAUAAGACUGGGAUAACUCCGGGAAACCGGAGCUAAUACCGGAUAAUAUAUUUAACCGCAUGGUUCAAUAGUGAAAGACGGUUUUGCUGUCACUUAUAGAUGGAUCCGCGCCGCAUUAGCUAGUUGGUAAGGUAACGGCCUACCAAGGCGACGAUGCGUAGGCGACCUGAGAGGGUGAUCGGCCACCCUGGAACUGAGACACGGUCCAGACUCCUACGGGAGGCAGCAGUAGGGAAUCUUCCGCAAUGGGCGAGAGCCUGACGGAGCAACGCCGCGUGAGUGAUGAAGGUCUUCGGAUCGUAAAACUCUGUUAUUAGGGAAGAACAAAUGUGUAAGUAACUAUGCACGUCUUGACGGUACCUAAUCAGAAAGCCACGGCUAACUACGUG
rnacentral:rRNA from 1 species